AAUUUUGGACAAUGGGGGCAACCCUGAUCCAGCCAUCCCGCGUGUGCGAUGAAGGCCUUCGGGUUGUAAAGCACUUUCGGCAGGGAAGAAAAGGCGCGGGCUAAUACCUGGCGCUGCUGACGGUACCUGAAGAACAAGCACGGGCUGACUACGCGCCAGCAGCCUCGGUAAUACGUAGGGUGCAAGCGUUAAUCGGUAUUACGGGGCGUAAAGCGUGCGCAGGCGGUUCGGCAAGAAGGAUGGGAAAUCCCAGGGCUUAACCUUGGAACUGCAUUCUUAACUGCCGGGCUAGAGUAUGUCAGAGGGGGGUAGAAUUCCGGGUGUAGCAGUGAAAUGCGUAGAGAUGCGGAGGAAUACCGAUGGCGAAGGCAGCCCCCUGGGAUAAUACUGACGCUCAUGCACGAAAGCGUGGGGAGCAAAC
rnacentral:rRNA from 1 species